CUCACGAGCUAAAGCAGGGGAAGUAAUAAUAAUACCAAGUUUUUUACCAAGCCAGAGUCUACAAAUGGGGCCAUAAGUUUGGGAAAGAGAUGCAAAAUAGGUAUGAAGUUCAGGUUCAAGAGAAUGGAGAUUACCUAUCAAGGGCAAAGCUUUAGGCCCUGGUGGCAAUCCCUUGUUUGAGUUUCUGAUGA